UACGUAGGGUGCAAGCGUUGUCCGGAAUUAUUGGGCGUAAAGAGCUCGUAGGCGGUUUGUCGCGUCUGCUGUGAAAACCCGAGGCUCAACCUCGGGCCUGCAGUGGGUACGGGCAGACUAGAGUGCGGUAGGGGAGAUUGGAAUUCCUGGUGUAGCGGUGGAAUGCGCAGAUAUCAGGAGGAACACCAAUGGCGAAGGCAGAUCUCUGGGCCGUAACUGACGCUGAGGAGCGAAAGCAUGGGAGCGAACAGG
rnacentral:rRNA from 1 species